rnacentral:rRNA from 1 species
AUUGAACGCUGGCGGCAUGCCUUACACAUGCAAGUCGAACGGCAGCACGGGUGCUUGCACCUGGUGGCGAGUGGCGAACGGGUGAGUAAUACAUCGGAACGUACCUUAUCGUGGGGGAUAACGCAGCGAAAGCUGUGCUAAUACCGCAUACGCCCUGAGGGGGAAAGCGGGGGAUCGAAAGACCUCGCGCGAUUAGAGCGGCCGAUGCCUGAUUAGCUUGUUGGUGGGGUAAAAGCCCACCAAGGCGACGAUCAGUAGCUGGUCUGAGAGGACGAUCGGCCACACGGGGACUGGGACACGGCCAGACUCCUACGGGAGGCAGCAGUGGGGAAUUUUGGACAAUGGGGGCAACCCUGAUCCAGCAAUGCCGCGUGAGUGAAGAAGGCCUUCGGGUUGUAAAGCUCUUUUGUCAGGGAAGAAACACCGGCUCUAACACAGUCCGGGAAUGACGGUACCUGAAGAAUAAGCACCGGCUAACUACGUGCCAGCAGCCGCCGCUG